rnacentral:rRNA from 1 species
UUGAACGCUGGCGGCAUGCCUUACACAUGCAAGUCGAACGGUAGAGGGGCAACCCUUGAGAGUGGCGAACGGGUGAGUAAUAUAUCGGAACGUGCCCAGUCGUGGGGGAUAACGUAGCGAAAGCUGCGCUAAUACCGCAUACGAUCUAUGGAUGAAAGCGGGGGAUCGCAAGACCUCGCGCGAUUGGAGCGGCCGAUAUCAGAUUAGGUAGUUGGUGGGGUAAAA